UUUUAGCUGUGUUCAAUUCUUUGUGAUUCCAUUUUGGGGUUUUCUUGGCCAAAAAUACAUUGGAGUGACUUAUCAUUUCCUUCUCCAACUCAUUUUACAGAUGAGGAAACUGUGACUUACCUAGAGCCAUUCACCUAGUAAAUGUUUAAGGACAGAUUUGAAUUCAGGAAGAUGAGUUUUUCUGACUCAGGGCUGGCAAUUUGUUCACUGUGUCACCUGGCUAUCCUGCUUUGGAUAUUACAUUCAGAUAAUCUGAUGAUUCCCUAAUCUUUUCUCAAUCUGUUUUCCAGUUUUUGCUUUGAGAUACCUCGGUUUUUUUUUUCUAUUUUAAAGCAUUUUAACUUUUUUCUAAUUUUUUUUGUUGUCUUAUAGAGUCAUGACUCUGUUGUCAUUUAAUAUCAGGAGUAGUUAUCUGAUGGGCAGAUUUGUACUCUCGAGCAAUCUAUAAUUAUCUUCCAAUUAUUCAUCCAUAUUUAUCAUUUAUUUUCUAAUUUUUUCCCUUAAGCACUCUCAUUCCAUUUAUUAAAACUCUUAAAAAAAACUUUGAGUUUGUGUCUAAACUGUGUUUUUCUAAGGCAGUGCUUAUAAAUAUUUUGGAAUCUUUAUCUUCUGUGUUUGUGUGUUAUGUGUCCUUGUUAACAUUAUAACUCAUUUUGAUGGAGUUCUAUUGGUUGCUCAUUCUUCUAAUCUACUUCCUGACUUCAGACUUGAUGUCAGAUUUGGGCUCCUGAGCACUUUGGGAGAGAAGCUGGGUUCAGUCCAUUGUUUCAUGAUCCACAAACAAGUUGGGGAUCUUAGCUUUCAGCACCCGGCAAAGUAGUCUAAUUCAGGGCAAAAUCUGAUUGUUUUCUCCCUGGCCAGAGUUCUGCAAGUUCCUGACCUGUAUUUGGUUCUGAAAUGGGAUGCUCCUUGAGGGCAAGUACUGAGUUUUCAAAGACACAGAAAUGGGAGCUGGAGUCUCAUGUUUGAGGAACAACAAGAAGGCUAAUUUGGCUGGACAGAAGAGUAUAUUAAUGUCUGAAAAGGCACAAGGGUCAGCCUAUUCAAGGUGCUUUGGAUCUUGGAGUCCUCCUCUAUUAACUCCUUUGACAUUAAUUGGGGAUGAGGAUAGAACCCACCCCUGUAUAUGCAGUGUAAAUACAAGAAGUUUCCUAAUAAAUACAGGAGUAAGACAAGGAUGUUCCCUUUUCUCACUGUUAUUUGACAUCAUCCUUGAAAAACUAAAAAUAUCAACCCAUAAAUUCACGGCAUAA
rnacentral:lncRNA from 1 species